rnacentral:rRNA from 1 species
GACGAACGCUGGCGGCGCGCUUAACACAUGCAAGUCGAACGGAAAGGCCUGCUUUCCCUUGUGGAUUGCGGGUACUCGAGUGGCGAACGGGUGAGUAACAUGUGAGUGAUCUGCCCCCAACUUGGGUAUAAGCCUGGGAAACUGGGUCUAAUUCCCGAUAGGACUGCAGGGUGGUGCCUGUGGUGGAAAACGAUUUUCUAGUGGUUGGGGAUGAGCUCGCGGCCUAUCAGCUUGUUGGUGGGGUAAUGGCCUACCAAGGCGGCGACGGGUAGCCGGCCUGAGAGGGUGGACGGCCACAUUGGGACUGAGAUACGGCCCAGACUCCUACGGGAGGCAGCAGUGGGGAAUAUUGCACAAUGGGCGGAAGCCUGAUGCAGCGACGCCGCGUGGGGGAUGACGGCCUUCGGGUUGUAAACUCCUUUCGACCGCGAGGAAGCCACCUGGUUGGAAGGGUGGUGACGGUAGUGGUAGAAGAAGCACCGGCUAACUACGUG